ACGGGUGAGUAAUGCCUAGGAAUCUGCCUGGUAGUGGGGGAUAACGUUCGGAAACGGACGCUAAUACCGCAUACGUCCUACGGGAGAAAGCAGGGGACCUUCGGGCCUUGCGCUAUCAGAUGAGCCUAGGUCGGAUUAGCUAGUUGGUGAGGUAAUGGCUCACCAAGGCGACGAUCCGUAACUGGUCUGAGAGGAUGAUCAGUCACACUGGAACUGAGACACGGUCCAGACUCCUACGGGAGGCAGCAGUGGGGAAUAUUGGACAAUGGGCGAAAGCCUGAUCCAGCCAUGCCGCGUGUGUGAAGAAGGUCUUCGGAUUGUAAAGCACUUUAAGUUGGGAGGAAGGGUUGUAGAUUAAUACUCUGCAAUUUUGACGUUACCGACAGAAUAAGCACCGGCUAACUCUGUGCCAGCAGCCGCGGUAAUACAGAGGGUGCAAGCGUUAAUCGGAAUUACUGGGCGUAAAGCGCGCGUAGGUGGUUUGUUAAGUUGGAUGUGAAAUCCCCGGGCUCAACCUGGGAACUGCAUUCAAAACUGACUGACUAGAGUAUGGUAGAGGGUGGUGGAAUUUCCUGUGUAGCGGUGAAAUGCGUAGAUAUAGGAAGGAACACCAGUGGCGAAGGCGACCACC
rnacentral:rRNA from 1 species